UGAGGGGCCCGCACAUGCCCUGCUCAUCUCAAAACUUCUCGAGAAGCAAAUCUAACUUGCAGGAACUUUGAGAAAGGCAGGAGAAGCAAAAAAGCAAAAUGAGAUUGUUUUCAUAACUUAAAGAGGCUGAAAAUGAUGAAACUGGGCUGAGAUGUGUUACAGGAGCCUACACAGCUAGAAGGAUAGAUUCGAGGUCAUGCUUUGAGCAAAAGCCAUUAAAAUACAUAAAUAACAUUGUAUCACACUUUUGCCUCUCAAGUUGAGACUGCCUCUAAAUUGACUAGCGUUACAAAUAUCCUAACAGAAAACUAUCCCUAAAACCUAGAAAGCCAUAUUAUGCUUUGGCAAUCAUCUGACCAUGUACAACAAAUGUAAUGAAAACGGUAAACCUGAACCAAGGCAAACCCAACAGUUUAAUUUAAAAACUUGAAGAUACUAAGUAUUCCCUUCAACUGGACAUUCAGAAACUUCACGUGGCUACAUUGUAUUUCCCCCCACGAGUUGCUUCAGGGUUGUGAAAUUCACUGGACUGUGGAGGGAGCCUUAAACCUUUGUGGGUGAUUGACGUCUAAAGUACCUGAGCUUUUCUGGUUCUGCUGACCCUCAGUCUCCUGGACCCUAGGAGAAGAAUCAGACCCAUCCUUCAGUCUCAUCUCUAGAAGCCCAGAAUAAAAUGAAAAAGGUA
rnacentral:lncRNA from 1 species